AUUGAACGCUGGCGGCAGGCCUAACACAUGCAAGUCGAACGACUGGCGGACGGGUGAGUAAUGUCUGGGAAACUGCCUCAUGGUGGGGGAUAACUACUGGAAACGGUAGCUAAUACCGCAUACCAUCCUAUGUCCCCUAAUGGGAUUAGCUAGUUGGUGGGGUAACGGCUCACCACGGCGACGAUCCCUAGCUGGUCUGAGUGGAUGACCAGCAACACUGGAACGGAGACACGGUCCAGACUCCUACGGGAGGCAGCAGUGGGGAAUAUUGCAGAAUGGGCGCAAGCCUGAUGCAGCCAUGCCGCGUGUAUGAAGAAGGCCUUCGGGUUGUAAAGUACUUUCAGCGGGGAGGCGUUACCCGCAGAAGAAGCACCGGCUAACGCCGUGCCAGCAGCCGCGGUAAUAC
rnacentral:rRNA from 1 species